UCCGAUAUGGUCUAGUGGCUAGGAUACAUCGCUCUCAUUCGAAGAGAUCCCGAUGUGGCCCGGGUUCGAUUCCCGGUGUCGGAA